rnacentral:rRNA from 1 species
UACGGAAGGGGGCUAGCGUUGCUCGGAAUCACUGGGCGUAAAGGGCGCGUAGGCGGCCAUUCAAGUCAGGGGGUGAAAGCCUGUGGCUCAACCACAGAAUUGCCUUUGAUACUGUUUGGCUAGAGACCGGAAGAGGUAAGUGGAACUGCGAGUGUAGAGGUGAAAUUCGUAGAUAUUCGCAAGAACACCAGUGGCGAAGGCGGCUUACUGGUCCGGUUCUGACGCUGAGGCGCGAAAGCGUGGGGAGCAAACAGG